UGAAAUCCAAUCCCUGUUUUACUCCCGGAUCCACCGUGUAGGUUUGUUCCUCAAUUAUUAUCCGAUUCUUCGGUUACACAUUAUCAGCCGUUCCUCCAUUAUUAUCCUCUCCUCUUCCGUUACUAUAUUUGGAGAUAUCUAUCCGUUUCCCCUAAAUUUUUGCCCUAAUUACCUCUUUCGUUACCAUCUUAUCUUCUAUUCUCAUUCUCUCUUCUCUAAAAUUAGAGAAAAAUAUUCUCUUUGGGACAUUGAAGACCCGUAUAUGUAUACGCUGCUCAUACGUUACAAAUGUUUACAAAUGUUUCACUACAUAAACACCAACAUAGGUCAUCAUCUUACCAUGUUUCAGAUGCAUACUCUAUCGACACUGUUAGGCUCCGACUGUUGUUUUCGAAAAAGAGGUGUCAUCUAUUUUGGGAGCGACGCAUGGAGUGCACAUGGAGUGCAGCACCAUGAAUGAGCCAGAUGCAGAAGAUAACCAGGAAACCUCUGGUGGAGGCACUAGCCUUCCAUUUGCACCCACUCAUGGACAAUUUUUGUGCUACAAGACAUAUUGAGAGACAAGCCACCGUUAAUCUUACAUGUGUAUAUCGGUUUCAGUUUUUCCAUGGAAUUGCAGUUUCUUUAAACCAGAUAUGAUCUCUAUCUAUAUCAACUGUUUGAUUCAAAAAUUAAACCAUUCUAUAAAAUGUUGCAUGUCAAAUAUUAUUCAUAGGUGUGAGAAAGUUGGCGAUAAAACCAAAAUGUAGGAUUUGAUGAUUUUUAAUAGCGUCUAUGGAGGGAUUUAGGGUGAUUCUGUUGAUGUGACAUGCCGUGGUUGAAUGAAAAGACAAAGGGUAUAUUUUUCUUCCAUCGAGUUUGUUUUGUGACUGUCGUUGCUUCACCCUAUAAAAGCCUGUUUUUUCCCUCGGCAUUAUACAAGCUAGACUAGAGGUGCAUAUUUGGCCUUAUAUUUAUUAACGUUUAGACUACGUUUGUAGCUUCAGCAAAUAACAUACUGUGGAAGGAACCAAUGCGAAAAGUCGUGACAUGAACUAAAUAGUAGUGUACAUAACAGAGUCACAUUCUAAUGUAGAUUGUUAAUUCUUAUUGGAGCUGGCUUUUAGAGGACAAUAUAUGCUGCACAUAGAAAAAAUUCAUAUGGCCUUUUGGAUCCAUUUUUUUAACAAAUAUGUUUGCAUCCUUUGUACUCGCUUAAAAUGGCCAAAAGAUACUAAAAGAUGUAAGGGACUUGGGUAGUAAAAUAUUAAAAUAUGUUUGAAAUGCAUGCAGGUGGAGUAAAUUAGAAAUGGUUAGGCCUAAACUUUGAAACUCAUGUUUGAUUAUCUGUGAUGUUUUAUUAAGUAAAACUCUUACGAUAUCCAUCUAUAGGUAGGUGUUGCGUUGUUCAUCUCUAAAUUUUCACUGUGAUAUGGCCUCAUAUUCAUUUAACUAAUUUGUUGUGUCCCAUAACUUAUUUUUACUUUAAAUUCGAUUUUUAGCUCCAAGAUUGCGUACUCCAAUUUCUACCUGUCAUUUCAAUACGAAUAGACAAUGAUUCGCCUAGAAUCCAAAUUUGUUUCGAUUCUAAAGGGAAUCCUAGCAAACAGGUUGAUGGGGAGUAUGGUGUCGAGGAUCUGAAGAAAGCUAAUCUGGACCAAGAGACGGGGACAAUGGAAUCUCCAACCCAUAUGGAGAACGGAAAUAUAGGAAUUCUGCAACCUGUUUGCAGGAAUUUACUACGUGUAUUUUCAUUGGAAUUAGAAACUGAUACAGGGGGAAGGAGAAGUUGAGUUUUUGGGGAAAAAGUUAGGGUUAUUUGAAAUGAGUAAUUCUAGUGGAGGAAAUGAUGUUGGUGAAGCUUCAAAUAACAAACAUGAUUGUGUUGAUGGUGAGAUUGUCUCAACUAAUCCUAUGGAUUGGACGUUUUAUGAAGAGAUGUUAAUAGAGGAAGCCAUGAAUAUUGGUGCAAAUGAAGAUUCAAUUGCUCAAAAUGAAGGAACCAACCCUCAAAAUGAGGAACCCGAAGCUCAAAACAAUCAGGUAAACAUCUUAUACCCUUCGAUUUAUCUGUUUGUUGUUCCCAGUGGUCGAAUCAUCCACACUAUGGAACAACUCAAUGUAAGGGUCGUCAUGGUCGGGGGUGUAUACCGAAACGACUCUCUAAUGUCGUCAUUUUAUUGACACUACCAAUGACGACUCAAACCUGCAACUUUUCGAGGUUAUGAAAAAUCGUUAAGUAGUGUGAUAAAUAUUAACGACCCUUUUUAGCUAGGUCACUUAGAGUCGUUAUGUUGUUUUGUUUACACAAGAACGACUCUAAAACUAAAACUCUCUGUAAAAUAUAACAUUUAGGGUCGUCAUAUAUGUAGUCAUAUGAAAUGACGAUUCUUAAAUACACAAUGACGAUUCU